rnacentral:ncRNA from 1 species
UGGUGCAUGCCCGUUCUUAGUUGGUGGAGUGAUUUGUCUGCUUGAUUGCGAUAACAAACGAGACCUUGACCUGCUAAAUAGUCAGUAUUGCUAUGGUAGUACGCGGGCUUCUUAGAGGGACUAUCGGCUCAAGCUGGUGGAAGUUUGAGGCAAUAACAGGUUGACCU